rnacentral:tRNA from 1 species
GGGUCGUUAGCUCAGGUGGUAGAGCAUCGGACUUUUAAUCCGCUGGUCGCAGGUUCGAAUCCUGCACGACCCA